rnacentral:rRNA from 1 species
GAUGAACGCUGGCGGCGUGCCUAACACAUGCAAGUCGAGCGAAGCGCCUUACUUGAUUUCUUCGGGAUGAAAGUAUCGUGACUGAGCGGGCGACGGGUGAAGGUACCGCGUAGGUAUAACCUGCCUCAUACAGGGGGAUAACAGUUAGAAAUGACUGCUAAUACCGCAUAAGACCACAGGAUCGCAUGAUCCGGUGGUAAAAACUCCGGUGGUAUGAGAUGGACCCGCGUCUGAUUAGCUAGUUGGUGGGGUAACGGCUCACCAAGGCGACGAUCGGUAGCCGGACUGAGAGGUUGAACGGCCACAUUGGGACUGAGACACGGCCCAG